UUCAAAAAUUAAAAAAAAAAAUCGAAACAAAUUUGUGCCAGUUAGCUUCAAAUACUCAAUAACUGCGAACAAAUUUGUUUCCCCAAAAAAUACGAUUGUAACGCGCAUUUCUCGAAAUAACACGUUUGGACCCAUACUGUUGUUAUUGUUCGUAUCAGUGAUUCAGUUUUUCACUUGAUAAUUAAUUUUCAAGGCUGGCGCACACAUUUUUUCUAGCGCAUAGUGACAAGCAAAAUUGUAGUACGCAUAAGUUAACCAAACGGACACUCUCAUUUGCACGCAUAUCCUGCGUUGAUCCUGCGGCGCGUCAAAGGAACACAAAUAUUUUAGCUUAGAGCCUAUAAAAAUAUAUGGAAAAAUACUAGAAAGCAAUAUUCGAUACGCCAUGCGCUCAGAACACGCGCUACGCAGUACAAAUUACACACAAAUUCUAAAAUUGAGUGAAAGAGCUUUUUUCAAACGACCAAAGCUUGUGCGCUCACUGUAUAUUAGACAACUCAAAUGCUUUACUCACUAGUAUAGCAUUUAACAAACCGAAUUUGUUGCUGUGCGAUAGGCAGUGGUAGCCUUCAGAAACCGCUCACACGUUACACUCACACACACAUGCGAAUACAAGCCCUUUCAAGCUUUUUCGAAGCACUCAAGGCGCGCUGUUUUGAAAAAUGUGCUCAGCGAUAAACUUGUGUCAAAAUAUGACUAAUAGGCCGGUUGCUAGAUAGAUAGAGUAAAGCAGCGUGAGAGUGAGAUAGAGAGAGAGAGAGUGCGCGAGCGCUGAGACUUGCGCUCAAAAGCGCGCUACUGUGCUCAAUGAGGGUGAACAGCAACGCGCCGUGGAUGGCAGAAUAUUUUGGUUUGAAAGGAGCAGAUAAAAGAGCUUAAAGUGCAACAAAAAGAGCAGCAACAACAAUUAUUUGGUAGUAACAGCAAAUAAGUGCUACAUAAGUAAACAAAAAGGGAGCAACAUAAACACACACACGCGCUCAAGCAGCGCAGCCGAGUAGGUAUGAAUAAUUACGAAUAUUUCGAUUUCGAAAGUAUCCUUUUGCCGUUACUGACAGCGUUAAACUUGGCUAAAACCGCGCGCCACAUACACACCCACAUACAAACACUUGAAAUCGGCAAGCAAAAAGCAGCGCACAGCUAUUUUGUAUAUCUUUUGGAACGCAUUGACACACAUACAUGCAUAUAUAUACAUAUUUUGGGGCACCCACACGAGUCGUGGCGAACACACGAGAGCGCAGAACAAAAACUACACGUCAGGCGCAAGGAUACACAGGCGUGCAAGACAGCAGCAGCAGCAGCAGCAGAAGUCAGCCAGCCAGCAAACUGUGAAAGCUGUGAUGUAGAAAAUGAAAAUCAAAUAGUCAAAUCCGGAUAAAUUUCACAAAUUAAACGCAGCGCUGUCGAAAAGCGAGUUGGUUGUGCUGUAAAAAACGAAGGCAAACGGAUUUGGCCAUUUACUCAUUUACUCAAGUGGCUGUACGUGUUUUAAGUGUUUCAAUUCUACGCUGUCUACCACAAGCAAACACCUAAAUAAACAGUGUUGAAAUGUUGAAAUAAAAUUGCCAGAAAAAAGCAACAAAAAAUAACACUUAAAGAAAUUACAAUAAAUUACAAAGCAACAGCGCUAUACACAUAUAUAUAUAUAAACUAAAUAUAUAUUAUAUAUAUAAAUAAGAAGAGUUGAAUUAAACGAAAAAAUUGUUCAACUAAAAAUACGCUACAAGCCAAUUAGCAGCAGCAGCAACAAACAGCUACAACAAAGUAGCGAAUUUGUGCAUAAAAAUUAAGCAACAAAAAUUACACUGCAAAAAAUAGCAACGAAAGCAUAGACGAAGAGCCAUACAUGUGCAGGCGAUAGCCGAAUUAAAUGCAGGCGCACACAUGUAAAGCGAAUGAAACAUAAAAAGACAACGAAAAUUUGUAAAAUAAUUAAUUUAAUUACAAAAUUUGAGAAAUAAAUUAAAUAAAAUUAAUUUAAUUAAAGAAAAUUGAAAAUAAU
rnacentral:lncRNA from 1 species